GAUGAACUUUUGGAACACAACAUUCCUGAGCUGUGAACAGGCUGUACAAGUAGAGAGAGCCUCGGUGGUCAAAUGGGAGUUUAAGAACGUGACCGGAUGAAAAAGAGGGAGGCCUCAUCAUGCCUGGUUGUUUAAGUGUCCUUAGAUGAAGGAAGCUGGGACUCCAGAGCCAUAACUAGAUAAACCACCGUGCCUAGGUGGAGGGGCGGGGGAUAAAAUGGGCUCUUUAAGAAGAUUUCAUGGUGGUAGAUGAAGAAUGUCCCCUGGACAGGAUCUCUGGGACACCUCAAGUCUACUGCUGGGAAGGCUGACACCAGCAGCGGAGGCUGUGGAGCAAGGUGGUGAAGGCUGAGCCAGAAGGAAGUCAGCGGAGGUGGCGUCAUAGAGUGAUGGGCCUGGAGUUAGGAAGACUC